AGCCCAACGUGGGGCUCGAACUCACAGACCGCAAGAUCAUGACCUGAGCCGAAGUCGGAUGCUCGUCCGACUGAGCCACCCAGGCGCCACAUCUCUGUCACUAUUAAAAGGCGGUCUCUAUGACAGCAGGGUCCGAACCUGUUGUCUUGUUUAUCUGGGCAUGUAGUAAAAUCCGCUCCUUUUGUGGUACAAUCCUCCGAGUUUUGAUACGUACAUAGAGUCGUAUAGUUGCCACCACGAUCAGGCUGCAGAGCCGUGCAUCGCCUCCAGAAAGAUCUGCCCUUUGCCAACCCCUCCUUCCACCCCACCCCCCGGAAGUCACCGAUCUGUCCUCUGCCCCUCAAGUCUUGCCUUUUCUAGAAUGUCACAGGAACCAGUCGUACAGUCAAUGGCCUUUUGAGACUGGCUGCUGCCACUCGGCAUCGUGCUUUUGAGACUCAUCCGUGUUGUUGCUUUCCUCGGUGGUCUAUCCCUUUCGUGUUGCUGAACUUCGGGCUAUGGUGUACCCGGGCUUCUUCGUCGCUCCGCCAGGUGAGGGCAUCUGGGCCGGUUCCUGUUUGGGGUGAUUGCGAAUAAGCUUGUCGACGCGUUCACGGACAGGUUUUUGCAUGAACACGGGGCGGUCGUGUCUCUAGGUUAAACACCCAGCAGCGGGAUUGCCGGGUCGUAGGGUAGGUGGGGUCUAACCCUGGAAGAGAACGCAGACUGUUGUCCAGAGUGACAUCUCCCAUCCCCGCCGGCACCGCGGGGGACCCGCAGCCACUCGGCAACCCCACACCUGUUAUGUUUUCACCGUUGUAUCUGGCCAAGCAGGCGCUCAGGGAGUAUCUGCUGAAUGAACCAAUGGCUGAACCGGAUGCUGUCACACCGGGCGGUUCUCGGGAUCGAGUGGGACAAAGUUUGGAAAGCACUGGCCACAUGCCUCGCCCUUGAAUGCACUCAGGACCUGAAGGUCAUUGUUGACAUCAGGGGCCACCUCCCCAGGGGCAGUGUCCCCAGCUCCACUGGACAAGGUCCCCGGCUCACCCACCUCCUCUGUUCUGAUCUCUGGCUGCCUGAGCUCCGGGCUUGGGGGAUAGAAAGGUCUCCCCUCCUCAGGAACCGGAGCGUGGCCAUCACCCACCAGCUUGAUUGCAUGGCCCAUUUAAAGGGUCACAGCUCGCAGCUUGAAAAUCAGCAGGCCUGACGCCUUCCCUCUACGGAUGCGGAAACUGAGGGAAAACCCGAGGGGGGCCCCGACCAUCUUGCAGAGCUCACACAGCAAGUUAACGGCAAAGCCAAGGAGAAGGAACUUUGAUUUCCCUUCCAGCGUGGACAUCUGAGUCUGGCGGGUACUGAGGGUGAAUCCUUCUCUGGAGCCCCGCCCUCUGAGGUCCCCCUCUGCCGCCUGGCUGUCUUCGCAAUGGUCGCCGCUCGAGGAGAAGAUCGUGUUUAUGUCUCUGUUUUCUUUCCCGUCCCCACUGUACCAAAAAUGCAAUCUUCACGAACACGAGGGCUUACCUGUAUUGCCUCUGCUGUGUCCCCAGCAGCCAGAAGGGUGUCUGGCACACAGUAGGUGCUCAAUAAAUCUCCGCUGAAUGAA